UCCAACCAGGUGUAGUGGUUUAUCACAUCUCCUUUACAGCCAUCUCAUCGUGUCAUGUCUCUAACAGGACAAUGGUGAGAUCGUUGGCGCGGAGAAGGUCAUGGGUUCGAUCCCCAUAGGAA